rnacentral:rRNA from 1 species
AGAGUUUCCUUCUGGCUCAGGACGAACGCUGGCGGCGUGCCUAAUACAUGCAAGUCGAGCGAGCUUGCCUAGAUGAAUUUGGUGCUUGCACCAAAUGAAACUAGAUACAAGCGAGCGGCGGACGGGUGAGUAACACGUGGGUAACCUGCCCAAGAGACUGGGAUAACACCUGGAAACAGAUGCUAAUACCGGAUAACAACACUAGACGCAUGUCUAGAGUUUAAAAGAUGGUUCUGCUAUCACUCUUGGAUGGACCUGCGGUGCAUUAGCUAGUUGGUAAGGUAACGGCUUACCAAGGCAAUGAUGCAUAGCCGAGUUGAGAGACUGAUCGGCCACAUUGGGACUGAGACACGGCCCAAACUCCUACGGGAGGCAGCAGUAAGGAAUCUUCCACAAUGGACGCAAGUCUGAUGGAGCAACGCCGCGUGAGUGAAGAAGGGUUUCGGCUCGUAAAGCUCUGUUGGUAGUGAAGAAAGAUAGAGGUAGUAACUGGCCUUUAUUUGACGGUAAUUACUUAGAAAGUCACGGCUAACUACGUGCCAGCAGCCGCGGUAAUACGUAGGUGGCAAGCGUUGUCCGGAUUUAUUGGGCGUAAAGCGAGUGCAGGCGGUUCAAUAAGUCUGAUGUGAAAGCCUUCGGCUCAACCGGAGAAUUGCAUCAGAAACUGUUGAACUUGAGUGCAGAAGAGGAGAGUGGAACUCCAUGUGUAGCGGUGGAAUGCGUAGAUAUAUGGAGGAACACCAGUGGCGAAGGCGGCUCUCUGGUCUGCAACUGACGCUGAGGCUCGAAAGCAUGGGUAGCGAACAGGAUUAGAUACCCUGGUAGUCCAUGCCGUAAACGAU